UUGUGUGCGUAUAUAUUCAGUCAGACGGAUUUUCAGUUAUAGGUGUAGAAUUUUUCUAUUUAACUGUUAAACUUUCCGAUUAGCUGUUGAAAAACGGCAUUGGAUUAAACAAUGAUCUACGAUUUUUGCAUGAAGUGUCGCCGUCUUGUGAGGCCUAGGAGAAAGUGAAGGACAUGUAUAUCAUGUGGAAAAAAAACAACAUGAACAGUAACUGAAGGUAAAAUCUUUCUUUUAAUAUGUAGGGUGUUUAUUUGGUAUUUAUCAUGAGUUUUAUGACGUAAAAUGAGUUGUUUAGCUUUGAUUAUAACAUUAUAAAUUAUUAAGAUUGAGAAAGAAUGAAUGAAAAAGUUAAAUUGCCAUAUGACGAAUUAUAAAUUAAUUGGACAAUUAUGUGUAAAUAACAGAAGGUGGGUGACAUAUAAUAGGAAAUUUACUUAUUAUGAAAACAAUUUGAUACGAGUAUCCGGAUGGUAUUCGAAUACUUGAUACGAAUAUCCGGUUUCCAUCCCUAGUAUAAAGAGUAAUAAUAAUCACAUUAUAUUUAAAGGUUUAUUAAGUUCACAAAGGCUCCAUUUAUGUUCGUUUUUUUAGGUUAUCCGAUAUACCGAGUUACCGAUAUUGUUAAACUUUCAUUUUAGCUGUCGCUAUACUAUUUAUACAGACAAUGAAUUAAAAGAGACAGCACAAACGUACGAUACUGUGAGUAUUAUAACCUUAUAUUUUCAGGUUAUAAACAUCCCAAAACUUAAAUGUAAUGAAAAAAUGACAUUACGAUUUUUUUUAAUUUACUUGAAUUAAGUAGUUGCUAUAAAAAUAAUAAUUUCGUAAUGUACAUGCAAGGGAACAUCACCUGACAACACUUUAUUGUAUAUUUAUAUUUGUCCACAUAGGCCACGACCUUCAGGAUAUUUUGUGAAAAAAUACCGGAUCUAUCAUCCAAAACCGAUUUUAUAGACAUAAGAGAAAAAUAAUUUGGUAACGUGGGAUUCUGUGGAAUAUUACUUCAAACCUUUGCACCCAAUAAAUUCUAUUUAAUACAAGCUUAAAGACUUAUGCAAUUAAAAAGCUUUUGAUGUAAUAUAAUAUUUGCGUUAUAAAGGUUUGUUAGCCAAAGGAGUGUCUAGUGGCAUAAAUAUGCAUGCAAAAACUAUUAUUUAUGACUUGUUUACGAAAUAGGAUACUGUCUAGCCGUUUUUCGGUAAAAAAGGUGUAUGAAAGAAUAAUGCUUAUCAAAGUGUUAUCACCAACCGCUAUCAUAAUCUUGCAAGGUGUGCUUAAAACGGAACACUUAAAUAAGCGUAGGCCGAGUGCGAACAUGCACGUAAAGGCAUGUCCUUGAACAUGAUCCCCAGAAGAUUGUAACAAAUUGAAACUUACUAUUGCAGUGUUCGCGAGUCGCUGAGGACGUAUAUUUGAUAGCAAGGACUUGGACUUGGACAAUCAUGAAAACGGUUUACAUUGCUCCGGUGAUUUUCUUCUGCUUACUUGCGGGCCGUAACGCCAGCUCAUCAUGUACACCUGGUGAUAAGCAGUGUGACUUGUUCAGUAAAAGCUGGCAAGACUGACUCUCAUUGUUCAAAAGAUCUUUGUAAAACUCCAAUCGCGGAAGGCGAUAAUCAGUGUGGGAUAGCGGGAGUGUAUCAAAACCAGCUAGAGUCAGUUAUCAGUUUUACAUGCAAAGACGGUAGUAUUGACGGGCGCUAUUGCAGCGCUGUUGGU